AGGUCUUGAUGCGUGCAAUUUUGUUUUUUUUUAAAGCAAAUUGCACGCGUCCCGGCCUAC
rnacentral:pre_miRNA from 1 species